CCUACGGGAGGCAGCAGUGAGGAAUAUUGGUCAAUGGGCGCGAGCCUGAACCAGCCAAGUAGCGUGAAGGAUGACUGCCCUACGGGUUGUAAACUGCUUUUAUAUAGGAAUAAAGUGAGGCACGUGUGCCGUUUUGCAUGUACUCUAUGAAUAAGGAUCGGCUAAUUCCGUGCCAGCAGCCGCGGUAAUACGGAGGGUCCGAGCGUUAUCCGGAUUUAUUGGGGUUAAAGGGAGCGGAGGUGGGUUGUUAAGUCGGUUGUGAAAGUUUGCGGCUUAACCGUGGAAUUGCAAUUGAUACUGGCAGCCUUGAGUUCAGUUGAGGGAGGCGGAAUUCGUGGUGUAGCGGUGAAAUGCUUAGAUAUCACGAAGAACUCCGAUUGCGAAGGCAGGCUUCCGGGGUGCCACUGACGUUGAUGCUCGAAAGUGUGGGUAUCAAACAGGAUUAGAUACCCGUGUAGUC
rnacentral:rRNA from 1 species